CUGUGGACAAGAGAAAGCAAAGACCAUCAAUGUAAACGUGGACGAAACUAGGAGUAAAAAAAAGCAAGAACCUAGAAAAUUGAACGCCAUGAAAUGAGCGAAAUGGAAGUUGUAAAAGCUAAAAUGAUUGUUGGCAAAGUGGAGAUAUGCUGAUUGCUUUUCAUAAUGUGAGAAGCCAUUGCUAUAUGAGAAAGUUCGACCUCAAAAUAUUUGCUCCUCAAACAAGAAAAUGGACGGAUAUUAUUAUGAGUUGAAGUUAAGUUAACAAGCCAGCUGGCUGUAUGAAGAAAAGCGUCAGAUGGAUAUAACGACGUAAUAUCUUGAA